CCUACGGGAGGCAGCAGUGAGGAAUAUUGGACAAUGGGCGCAAGCCUGAUCCAGCCAUGCCGCGUGCAGGAAGAAGCAUCUAUGGUGUGUAAACUGCUUUUGUACAGGAAGAAACACUCCCUCGUGAGGGAGCUUGACGGUACUGUAAGAAUAAGGACCGGCUAACUCCGUGCCAGCAGCCGCGGUAAUACGGAGGGUCCGAGCGUUAUCCGGAAUCAUUGGGUUUAAAGGGUCCGUAGGCGGUUUAAUAAGUCAGUGGUGAAAUCUGGUCGCUCAACGAUCAAACGGCCAUUGAUACUGUUAGACUUGAAUUAUAAGGAAGUAACUAGAAUAUGUAGUGUAGCGGUGAAAUGCUUGGAUAUUACAUGGAAUACCAAUUGCGAAGGCAGGUUACUACUUAUGGAUUGACGCUGAUGGACGAAAGCGUGGGGAGCGAACAGGAUUAGAUACCCUGGUAGUCCACGCCGUAAACGAUGGAUACUAGCUGUUCGGAGCAAUCUGAGUGGCUAAGCGAAAGUGAUAAGUAUCCCACCUGGGGAGUACGUUCGCAAGAAUGAAACUUAAANGAAAUUGACGG
rnacentral:rRNA from 1 species